rnacentral:ncRNA from 1 species
CAAAAGCUUGGUCCUGACUUUUUUAUCAGCUUUUACUAAACUUACACAUGCAAGUCUCCGCAAACCUGUGAGAAUGCCCUUAAUCUCCUUCCCCGGACAAUAGGAGCCGGUAUCAGGCACACACCUUUAGAUGCCCAAGACGCCUUGCUUAGCCACACCCCCAAGGGACUUCAGCAGUGAUUAACAUUAAUCUAUGGGCGAAAGCCUGAAUUAGUGAAAGUAAACAGGGCCGGCUAAACUCGUGCCAGCCGCCGCGGUUAUACGAGAGGCCCAAGUCGAUAAAAAGCGGCGUAAAGGGUGGUUAAGGAAUUUUUUAACUAGAGAAGAACGCUCUCCGAGCUGUUAUACGCCCACAAGAGUGUGAACCCCUACUGCGAAGGCGACUUUAUUUUACCUGAAUCCACGACAGCUCCGGCACAAACUGGGAUUAGAUACCCCACUAUGCCUAGCCGUAAACUUCGAUAUAAGAAUACAACAUAUAUCCGCCAGGGUACUACGAGCAGUAGCUUAAAACCCAAAGGACUUGGCGGUGCUUCAGACCCCCCUAGAGGAGCCUGUUCUAGAACCGAUAAUCCCCGUUUAACCUCACCACCCCUAGCCCCCCCCCGCCUAUAUACCGCCGUCGUCAGCUUACCCUUUGAAGGUUAUAAAAGUAAGCACAAUAGCCAGAGGCAAGAACGUCAGGUCGAGGUGUAGCGCAUGAGGUGGGAAGAAAUGGGCUACAUUCUCUAACCCUAGAGAACAACGAAGGGAGACAUGAAACUUUUCUCCUAAAGGUGGAUUUAGCAGUAAGUUGAAGUAGAGAGUUCAGCUGAAACCGGCUCUGAAGCGCGCACACACCGCCCGUCACUCUCCCCAAAAAAAUGCCUAUUUUCAUAAGAAACUCAAUAACCAAGGGGAGGCAAGUCGUAACACGGUAAGUGUACCGGAAGGUGCACUUGGAUAAC